AUACACAAAAAAGUGGAAAGCAGGAUCUUGAAGAGAUAUUUCCAUGUAGCAGCGUUAUUCACAACAGCCAAGAGGUGGUAACAACCCAGAUAUCCACUGAUGGAUGAGUGGAUAAACAAAACAUGGAGAAUGGUAAUCACUUUUUCCUCAUGGUCUGAGUUAAAUAGGAACAUCCAAUUACCCCAAAUACUUCAUUUGUUCAGGAAGCUCAGUCAAAUGCAGUGCUCAAGGAUGCCAGCCAGCCUAUUGUCCUGUCCAGGAAGCAACAUCGUCCUUCCUCCAUGAAAAGUGAUCAUGAUCUUGCUAUGAGAGAAGAGAGAUUUGUGUUGUUUGAAAAGGCAUAUUAAAUAUUACCAUAUAAUUUCAUAUCUGGAAAACAAAAUAUAAAUUGUUCUGAUCAUACAAUUAUGGAAAAUAAAG